ensembl:lncRNA
GUGAGUGGCCGGGGGAGUGAACUGCGACGGCCGCGGGCCGCGUCGGGGCUGGCGCUCUCGGGCCCCCGCUAACCCGCUCUGGGCUCCAGGCUGCGGGCUGGGCUGUCGGGGUUCGAGAAAGGGGGUUGUCGACCGCCGCGGUUUUCGCCGAGCCAGGGGGACUGGAAGGAGCGGGCGGUGGGGGCCGUGGGGUGGGCGGGGCGGAGCCAGGGAGUGGGUUCCCGGAGCUGUUGUUGCUGUUGGGAGAGUUAAGAAUGGGCUGGGCCUCUGUCCAUCCAGCCCCCUCAUUUCUGCUCCCCUAUAUCCUCUCGCUGUCUCUGGGAUUUGGUUUUUCUGUGUCCGACCCGGGGCUGGGAAUCUGGACGUCAGAUUCAAUCGUGGGCUGUAGUUGACUUUGGCGAUCUCUAGGUCUGUCGUCCGGCUCAGUAAUUAGCUGGGGUCCCAGGAGUGUCGUCUCUUCGGUCCCAGGGCGGGGCGAUGCGUGUGUAGACACCAGAGAUCUUCUGCAAGGCUUUCCGUCUAGACUGGUGUAGGGGUUGCUCAGGAUCGGUUUGGACUGCGCUUGGGACCGGUGUUGCAGGCGUAGGGCAGUGUGGCACCAGCAUGCCUCCCAUGAUCUUUACUCACUGGAAAGCUUACUCAAGCUCUUGUUGAAGUCACUUCUUAAAACAACAAACUUGCUUGAGGAAAAUCAGGAGUUCAGGUAUUUUGAGUAAUCUGGAGUAUGCCCGAGGACAUACAUGCUGCUGCUGCUGCUAAGUCGCUUCAGUCGUGUCCGACUCCGUGCAACCCCGUAGAUGGCAGCCCACCAGGCUCCGCCGUCCCUGGGAUUCUCCAGGCAAGAACACUGAAGUGGGUUGCCAUUUCCUUCUCCAAUGCAGGAAAGUGAAAAGUGAAAGUGAAGUUGCUCAGUCGUGUCUGACUCUUAGCGACCCCAUGGACUGCAGCCCACCAGGCUCCUCCGUCCAUGGGAUUUUCCAGGCAAGAGUACUGGAGUGGGGUGCCAUAUGCAAAUACUACACUGUCUUGUAGAAGGGACUUGAACUUUGGCGGGUAUCCUCUGAGGUCUUGGAACCAUUCAUGUCCCUUUGGAAAACUGAGGGAUGACUGUUUUUGUUGUUUCAUGAGAGCUAGUUUUGACAUGGCUUUUUUUUUUUUUUUCACCCUUGGUGUACUGCACUUUUGUUUUGAUAUGUCUGAAAGAUGGUUUCUUCUGUUUAUCAUGUUUGGUGUUCAGUAGGCUUUGGAAUCUAAAGAUUGAUGUCAGUUCUGGAGAACUGUUGGCUAUUUUCUCCUCAAAUUUUAUCUUCUUUAUUUCAUGUCUGAAACUUGUGUUUUGAAGUAUGUUAGAUCUUUUUACUCUACCCAUUGGGCCUUUUAAUUGGUCUUUUAUAUUUUCUAUUUCUGUGUCUGUUUGUAUUGUGUUCUCAAUAAUUAGUGCCUUUUCUUCCAGUUAGCUAAUUCUCACCUCAGUUUUGUUCACCUGUUUCAUUGAGUUUUUUUCACUUUAUUUUAUCAAUUAUAUCUUUUUAAAAAACUGUGGUAAAAUACACAUAAAUAGAAUUUACCAUUUUAGCCAUUUUAAAGCAUAUGGGUCAUGACAUUGAGUAUAUUCCCCUUAUUGUGUGACUAUCACCCCUGUCCAUCUCCAGGACUUUUUUCAUCAUCAUAAAAUUUUGUACCCAUUCAACAGUAAGCCCUUGUUCCCUCUUCACUGAGCCCCUGGCAACAGCUACUUUCCUUCUGUGCAUUUAUUCUGUAUGGUCAUAUAAGUGGAUCAUACAGUGUUUGUCAUUUGUCUAGUUUAUUUCACUCAGCAUAAUGUCUUCAUCUGUGUUGUACCAUGUUUAUUGAGUUUUUGAAAAUUUCAUUUACUCUAUUUUUUGGUCAUUUCUAGAAGUUGUAUUCAGUUCCUUUUAAAGAUUAUCCUUUUUUUAAAAAAUAGUUUUUCCGUUUUUAGUCAUAUUCCCAAGGUACUUUAUUUCUUAAAAAUCUAUUUAAUAUGCUUUUUUUAAUUGAGUGUGAUAAUUACAGUAUUUGAAGUCUGCAGAUGUGAGUCUGUUGUUUUGCUUGCUCUUGCUCGUAGUGCUGUGCUUUCCUAAAUCAUUUUGUGUUCUGACUGUGAAGUUCCUUAGAACGUUCUCUGUAUUAAUUUUGUACAGUGAGUUUUAAAAAGUAGGAUUAAUAUUAUAGCUUAGAGCUUAUAAGUAAGCACCUGGAGAUUAGUAUCCUGUGUUUUUAAACUUUUUAAUUUGAAAUGAUUUCUAACUUACAGUAAAGUUGCAAGAAUGAUAUAGUAGACUCAUAUAUCCUUUAC